AAUAGCGUAUAUUAAAGUUGUUGCAGUUAAAAAGCUCGUAGUUGAAUUUCGGGGUUAGUAGGUUGGUCGUGCUUCUGGUAUGUACUGGUUGCACUGAUUCCUCCCUCUUGAGGAACUGUAAUGUCAUUAAUUUUGUGUUGCAGGGAAUCAGGACUGUUACUUUGAAAAAAUUAGAGUGUUUAAAGCAGGCAA
rnacentral:rRNA from 1 species